AUAAAUGGAUAAUUCCGGAUCCAUAUAGUGAAAUAUUUGUUCCACUUUCUGAUAAGGAUGGGUGGAUCAUAGUGAACUGAAAACAAACGGGAUACUAUCGUGUAAAAUACGAUGGCAAGAGCUUAAGUUUAAUUACAACAUACCUAAUGUCCAAGGAGUAUACGAAGAUUCAUGUUAUUAACCGUGCUCAACUCAUUGAUGACACAUAUUAUUUCUUCAAAAGAGGAGAAGUUUCAUAUGACAGGUUUUUGCAUCUCAUAAUCUAUUUGCGCGGAGAGACAGAUUUCGUAGCAUGGUAUCCCAUGUUCCAAAUUUUUAGAGCAUAUCGCAUUUCUUACCAUUUCACGAGAGCAAAUCUAUAAAGGAUUAUAUGCGCUUUAUCUUGAGAGGUUUACUCCACCGAUUAUUAUACCAUAAAACUUUCAGUGAAGAUGAUCUUACUAAGAGAUUGC